GUUUAAAAUACCGGUUCCCGUAGGGUCACCGAAGUUAAGCAACGUCGAGCCUGGUUAGCAGCUAGAUGAAUGACCACUUGGGAAUACCGGUUGCUGUAA